CAGAAGACAGAGGGACUAUAGAGUAUAGAACAGUAAGGUUCAGAGGACAGAGGACAGAGGGACUAUAGAGUAUAGAACAGUAAGGUUCAGAAGACAGAGGGACUAUAGAGUAUAGAACAGUAAGGUUCAGAGGACAGAGGACAGAGGGACUAUAGAG